AGAGUUUGAUCCUGGCUCAGGAUGAACGCUGGCGGCAUGCCUAAUACAUGCAAGUCGAACGAGAGGAAGGAAAGCUUGCUUUUCUGAAUCUAGUGGCGAACGGGUGAGUAACACGUAGGUAACCUGCCCAUGUGUCCGGGAUAACUUCUGGAAACGGAUGCUAAAACCGGAUAGGUAGCAGACAAGCAUUUGACUGCUAUUAAAGUGGCUUUGGCCAUGAACAUGGAUGGACCUGCGGUGCAUUAGCUGGUUGGUGAGGUAACGGCCCACCAAGGCGACGAUGCAUAGCCGGCCUGAGAGGGCGGACGGCCACAUUGGGACUGAGACACGGCCCAAACUCCUACGGGAGGCAGCAGUAGGGAAUUUUCGUCAAUGGGGGGAACCCUGAACGAGCAAUGCCGCGUGAGUGAGGAAGGUCUUCGGAUCGUAAAGCUCUGUUGUAAGAGUAAAACGGCACUCAUAGGGAAUGAUGAGUGAGUGAUGGUAUCUUACCAGAAAGUCACGGCUAACUACGUGCCAGCAGCCGCGGUAAUACGUAGGUGGCGAGUGUUAUCCGGAAUGAUUGGGCGUAAAGGGUGCGUAGGUGGCAGAUCAAGUCUGGAGUAAAAGGUAUGGGCUCAACCCGUACUGGCUCUGGAAACUGAUCAGCUAGAGAACAGAAGAGGACGGCGGAACUCCAUGUGUAGCGGUAAAAUGCGUAGAUAUAUGGAAGAACACCGGUGGCGAAGGCGGCCGUCUGGUCUGGAUUCUGACACUGUAGCACGAAAGCGUGGGGAGCAAAAAGGAUUAGAUACCCUAGUAGUCCACGCCGUA
rnacentral:rRNA from 1 species